AGCCCGUGACGUGCGGUGUAGUUGGGGAAACGCACCGCGGUUCCCCGUCGGGUCAGGAGAUCCCAAGCCCCAGGCUGGCGUGGGCGAAGCGUACAAUCCCUUCACCUUUCGUCACCCAGAGGCACAAGAAUCCAGUUCGCGCCAACUGACCUGUUUCUUCCUUCCUCCCCGGCACUCUGGGAGUCCUAAGAUUGCCUUGCUCGGUUCGUCUCAGACUUGCUAGAUCUGAGCAGCUGCUGCUCACUCCACCAAGGGUGCUCACAUUCUCCAGGAAACUCCCUUAAGGGUUAGCAACCGCCGAGUAGGUUUCGGUCCCAAGAUAGAAAGGCUACAAGUGCAAAAAGCUGAAUGAAAAAUGGAAAGGUUACUGCUGAAAUAUUUACAGAUGGAAGGAUAUGAUGUCUAGAAUUUGUUUCAAACAAGACGAGGUCUUACUACCAUAGCCCAGGCUGGGCUCAACUGAUCCUCCUGCCUCAGCCUCCCAAAGUGCUGGGAUUACAGGUGUGAGCCACCAUGCCCGCCAUCAAGCAUUUACUUAUUGAAACACAUAUCAU
rnacentral:sRNA from 1 species